GACGACGCGGGUGGGGAGAGACUGUGCACCUACACGUGUCACUUCACAAAGGCCUCCAGGGGCUUAUGAUCAGGCAAAGGAGACACCAGGAAAGAGGAGCAGAGUGGCUAGGGCAGUGCACUGCAGAUGCAUGGACGAAAGCUCGCAGCGACACAGGUAUGGGGUGUCUAAUCAGGGAUGAGUGUGAGCAGCAGAAUGAGGAGCAUGCUUUCCCAGAGGAAGAGAGGAAGCCACUGGAGAGAUGAAGGAUGCCAUGGACAGGAGGUGGUGUCUCUGGAGCCGCCGAGCAGCAGCCUCAUUGCUCAGAAGAUGAAGAUGCUGACGAAGACCCAGACAGGAAAAAAGGAAGAAAAAGCAUCCUGAUUGUUCCAUUAGCAAAGCCACAGUCCCGGAGAGCAAGGGGAGGGGCACAGCAGGCAGCCGCACCCAUGGGAUGCAUCUGCAGCUUGUGAGCAAUGCAUGAAAGAUGAAUCACACAGCAGCAAUGCCUUCAGCUUCCGUGUGCUAUGGCUCACUCAGCACCAGCUCUGCAGGCUGCCUAAGCCAGAAGUCAGUCUCUGCCUUUAGACUUGCUCACUUCUUUUAGGAACGGAGAUAUCCUCUGAUCCCUUGUCCUACAACCUCGAUUAAUAUCUUUCCAACAGCCAUCUGCCAAACUCAAGAAGACCCUGGAACAACCUAAUUGGAAAAGUUUCCAUCUUAUCCCUUGGAAAACUAUAGAAAAGUAGUGUCACACAAAUGUUUAAUUUCUGAUUUCUACAAUUUCAGAUACCAGAGUUUAUCUGUUACCAUGACAACUAACAGCUUUAUAAAUGUUUUCUAGCCUCUGCUAUUUUCUGGAACUUAUCUACAUUUCAGUAUUUGCUUAAUAAUUUUGAGCUGACACUAGCAACAUAAUUGUGUCUGGAUUGUGUAUGUGUAUGUCUUGUGUGUGUUGGCAGGGGGUGGGUAUAACCUAUGUCAGUGUUUUUCAAUGUGAGCAAAUUUUAAUAAACUUUUAUAUUUAAUGUGAACAUUAAAAAAAAAAAAA
rnacentral:lncRNA from 1 species